GCAAUUUCGGGUAACGGGUCGUGUUCGUGUUAGCAAUCGGGUCGAUUUCGGGUCAAGCUAAAAUCACUUAAAAUUGAAUAAAACUGAAAAUUGAAGUUACUAGAAAUGAAAUUCUGAUUUCGGGUCAUUUCGGGUCCAUUUCGGGUCGAUCGGGUGAUUUUCGGGUCACUUUCGGGUUUCUGUCUCAGUAAAUCGGGUUUCGGGUUGGGUCGGGUUCGUGUCGGGUUUCGGGUCGUGUCUGAGAUUGCCACCCCUAGG
rnacentral:lncRNA from 1 species